CCGGUUGCCGCCGCGAGGCAGAACGUGCGGAUCGAGGGGCUGCGAAUGCACAGAAUCAUUACCACGCCAGACCUCGAGGAGAAUAGACGUGUUUCUCGUUUAUCCUGAGCUCAGUCGAGAGAUCUCGUGUUGCCCCGUGUGUUCUCGUCUUCUCUCAUUCCUCGCCGCUCCCUGAUAUUACGCGCGCCGCACCGCACCGAAUACACGCGUGUGAUACAUCGCGCCAAAGAAGACAGUCUCUGCAUGGACAGCAGACGCGUGUCGUCGCGAAUCCGUAGAAUCCGGUUGUGUCGCAGCAAUCUCGCCCCCGGAACCCACCACCGCGUGGCGGCUUCGCGCCGAGACUCUCGCGGUCCGCGCGGAAUCGUAGGGUGACCACCGACGUCACGCGGUCGACCCUCGAAUUUUGUGUUUACUCUGCGAGUGACGUGAAGCAACUUGGUGCAGUCGUCAGCCAGACCGCCACGAGGACGUUGAUGAACGCACGCGACCACGCGUACGUUCUCUCCGAAAUUGCCUUUCUCUCUUUCUCUCUCGAGAACUCACUUGGGUGCUCCGAAUAACAACAGUGCGUCCGAGCGGUCGGUCAUCAGCCGCUCAGACGGGACAAUUUCUGCGAUUCCCUCAACAGAGUUGAGUGAUCUUUCUUCUCCUUUUUGUUGUUCGUUUCGAGAGCGAAUUCCCCCUGGAGAGAGAGAGAGAGACACAGCGUUAUAUAUACCCCAGCACUCUGCAGGGGUUUAUUGCGUGCGCGCGCGCGAACCACGUGCAAUCCGGAACGAUGAACGUUGAGAGCGUGCGCCGAUCUGAAAUCUGAAGCGCGAUCACGUGCAGCGUUCUUGCCACCUUUACCAUUCUACGAUCUAGAAACGAUUGAGAUCAGUGUUCGUCGAUCCCGAGCUAGGCGGGAGAGGUGACAAAUACGUAGCUUGGACUCGAACAAUUCGAGCUGCAACUGCCCGCAGUCGGUCCGAUCGCAGAGUUAACAAGCCAGAGAAGAGGAGAGAAGCGACACCAUGGCGAUACCGUUUUUGCCCACCAACAGCGAAGAGAGGACGGAGGAACAGCUGAUGUUCCAGCUGUACGUUACCCUGCACAAUGCUCUCCGGAGCAGGAACGCCCACCAUCCGUCGCGAAAUCGUGAGUUGAAUAUAUUUUUAAGAUAUGUUUACUCUCGAGCCCGAGCGUACGUCAAGCGUCAUUUGCGUCAACAAUUCGCUAAGAAAAAUGAUAGAGAGGAAUAAGUGACCGAUCUCAUCGUCACGUGCGAUAAAAUCAUGGCUGAGCGGACAGCUCCAAGUUAGUAAAACGAAAUGGAGACAGGCGGUUGCGUUUAGAAAGAUAACGUUAGAAAGAUGAAGUAUGACUGAAACUUGAACGAUCUUGUCUCGAAACGGAACAGAGUAAAGGAAUAAAAUUGCAACCAUGUCCGAAAAUACAUUCAAAUUAAUUUACAUAAUUCCGAAAAGCGUAUUGAUACGGAAUAGGUUUUAUCAUUACGAUAAUUGGAAAAAUGUAAUAAAUCGGUAGUAUGUUUUGAGGGAGUGCAGUGGCAAUCAUGAAAAAAAAAAAAAAUUGCUGCUUUAAUGAGAGCGAUUACCAUGAGGCUAGAUAUUAUGAUAAAUUAUCUUUUCACAUGUCGCGAUACAAUAAUGAUGAAUGGAAAUAAAGUGCAGAGUGCACCGUUCCCCUUUUAUAUAUAUAUAUAUAUAUGCGUAUUAUAAAAUGACAAGCAAACAUGUGAAAAAAAAA